CCAUUUCCAUUUUGUGGAGGCAUUUCCUUUUUCUAAGGGAAUUCCUCAGAUGUUCUAGAAACAUUCAGAAGAACGCAGAAGAAAUAUUCUAGAGAAUUAGGGGUUCAUUCUUGAAUAUUUUCUGAUUUAAAACUGCUCACCUGAAAUUGAUACUUUCAGAUCCUGAUCUGUAAAUUACUCGAGAUUUGGUAAGAUGCUGAGUUCUCUGUGUUGUUGCAGAAUUGGAGUUGGGAUGAUCAUACCUUGGCUACCUGCGCUCAGAGCAUUUCCUUCUUGAGCUUAUUUUGUUAACAAUUCAUAUCUUGUGUUCAGUUACUUUGGGAGCUAUGGAGUGUGUUAUAG
rnacentral:lncRNA from 1 species